GCUGCCGAAGGCGGGGCGGAUAACUGGGGUGAAGUCGUAACAAGGUAGCCGUAUCGGAAGGUGCGGCUGGAUCACCUCCUUUCUAAGGAA
rnacentral:rRNA from 1 species